rnacentral:rRNA from 1 species
UCACACCACCCUGAAAGUGCCCAAUCUUAUUUCAUCUUGGAAGCGAAGCACAGUUGGGCCUGGUUAGUGCUUGGAUGGGAGAGCUAGGGUAGACAAGUAAAAAAUGAAC